AUCGCUUCUAGCCCUUUUGGCUAAGAUCAAGUGUAGUAUCUGUUCUUAUCAGUUUAAUAUUCUGCGACUAUUGUGAUGCACAGAGCCAGUACAUAUUCUGAUAAGAUGUUUGAAAUGUUUUUGAAAGUUCAGACUAUUCAAAGGUUUGGUUUGGUUUUGGACUUCUUGUCAAAACACCAUCUAUA
ensembl:snRNA U2 U2 spliceosomal RNA